AGUGAACGCUGGCGGUAGGCCUAACACAUGCAAGUCGAACGGCAGGACAGUAAGAGCGUGCGCUUCCGGGUUGGGAGUCGCGGACGUGUGACGAAUACAACGGAAUCUAGUUUUUCGGGGGGGUUCACGUAGGGAAACUUACGCUAAUACAGCAUCCGAUCUACGGGUGAAAGCAGUGGAAAUUCGGACCUUGCGCGAUUGGACGCGCCGCUGUGGGAUUAGCUGGUUGGGGGGGUAAUUGCCCACCAAGGCGACGAUCCGUAGCUGGUGUGAGAGGAUGAUCGGCCACACUGGAACUGAGACACGGUCCAGACGCCUGAGGGAGGCAGCAGUGGGGAAUAUGGGACAAUGGGCGCAAGCCUGACCCAGCCAUACCGCGUCGGUGAAGAAGGCCUUCGGGUUGUAAAGACCUUCUGUUGGGAAAGAAAAGCAGCAGGUUAAUACCCCGCUGUUCUGACGGUACCCAAAGAAUAAGCACCGGCUAACUUCGUG
rnacentral:rRNA from 1 species